rnacentral:lncRNA from 1 species
CCCAAGCACACGCUUCUCAGCGGGACUUUGUAAUACUAUGUGCACUCCCUCAUGUGUUACUAUUAUACCCAACAGGAAACAGAAUUGGACAUACUGGUUAAUGCUUCAACCAAAUUUACUCGCUCAAGAACAUUUCCAUAGUUUUUCUGCUUUGUUCUUUUUUAACAAUUAAUUACUGUAAUUAUUUCCUGAUAUCUGGGAUACAUACGACCUGUCCUGUGUAAGUGGAGGAGAGUAAAACGCAUUUGGAUUGAGACAUGGAGCAGCUCUUUUUUCUUCUCAUUCCCCUGUUUGCAUCUUCAUCCAUAAUCUCAGCAGGAAAUGACACAAGCAUACAAACUACGUUACCUCCAAACACAAAUGCUACAUCUCCAUGGUCUGUUGAUUCAAGAACAGAAGUCCAAACUGAAAAAACAAUGACUUCUGCUUUUUCAUCUCAAUAUGAGAAUGGCAAGACCAGCCACACCUCAAAAACUGUGAGCAUAACCACAGCUCCUGUAUCUUCUAGCCACACAGUGGGUGUUUCCGUACUUGCAAACACAGCUAAUUCAAACAUCAGCCUGUCUGAGGGGACGCCAACACCUUCACAGGCACCAGACAGCGGCCUCACUUUGCUCGCCUUUGGUGUGAUGAGUCUUAUACUCAUUUUAAUUGUUGUCAUGGUGGUCUUGGUGACUGCUAUCAACCUCAGGGGACAGUGUAGAGACACCAGACAGCACGAGGGUAUUAAAAGCUGUGAUUCGGUGGUAUCUGACAGAUACAGAUUCUCCCCAGAUGUCUUCAGUUCACAGCACUAUACUGGACAAUGAGGACCAAGAAUUUACCAGAGACCUGCUGGGCAUCAAUGACGGACUGUGAUUUCACUCAGUUCAUAGUGCAUGAGAUUGGAGGCUGCAUUCACUAUUUAUAAUGUUAAAUGAAUGUGAAUUAAUGUGCCUCUAUCUGAUGGUCAGUGCACAGAUCACACAUCAUGCUUAUGGCCUACAUUACUGCAUAUAAAACGAUCCCUAUAUCAGACAUGCUCUUGUAUAUUAAACAUGACACAUCCUUCAUUGAUAAAUAAAAUGUCACUUUUGUGUUCAUAUUCUUUUUCAGAUUAAAAAAAGUGCAUUAAUGUGUAAUGUAAUGUAUUUGUAAAGUGAGAUACGGAAUGUAAGGAUUUGAGUCAAAAGUCCAAAUACACAAAUGUGUGUGUGUGUGUGUUCCUGUAUAGGCCACAUUUGACAUGAUAAUAUAUUUGUUUUGUG